rfam:Tupaia chinensis contig77446, whole genome shotgun sequence.
UCACUUCUAGUUGCACAUACACUGAAAUUGGAAUGAUACAGAAAAGAGUUGCGUGGCUCCUAUAUAAGGGUGACAUGCAAAUUGUGAAAUGUUCCACUUUUUU